rnacentral:rRNA from 3 species
UCCAGUCGAUGCUGCUGGAGGGCACUGCUAUCAGAUUUCGACAGCCAUGCAAGUUCGCUCAGCGGCUUCGCUGGGCAGCGUACGGCUCAGUAACACGUAGUCAAUCUACCGUAAAGAGGCGAAUACCCAUGGGAAACUGUGGCUAAUGCGCCAUAGGCCAGGGAUUCUGGAAGGAGCCCUGACUUAAAGGAGCGCGAAUUGCAGCGCUUCCGCUUUACGAUGAGACUGCGGCGGAUCAGGCAGAUGGCGGGGUAACGGCCCACCAUACCUAUAACCCGUAGGGGAUGUGGGAGCAUAAGCCCCGAGAAGGGCACUGAGACAAGGGCCCUAGCACUACGGUGUGCAGCAGGCGCGCAAACUCCACAAUGCGCGUAAGCGUGAUGGGGGGAAUCUGAGUGGUUCACUUUGUGAACCUUUUGCCAAGUAUAGCAAGCUUGGCGAAUAAGUGCUGGGCAAGACCGGUGGCAGCCGCCACGGUAAUACCGGCAGCACAAGUGGUGUCCACGAUUAUUGGGCUUAAAGCGCUCGUAGCCGGCUGAUGCCGUCUCGCGUGAAAUAUUGGCGCUCAACGUCAAUGCGUGCGCGAGAUACCCAUCGGCUAGGGAGCGGGUGAGGUCAGGAGUACUUAUGGGGGAGGGGUUAAAUCCUGUAAUCCUAUAAGGACUAACGGUGGCGAAGGCGCCUGACUAGAACGCAUCCGACGGUGAGGAGCGAAGGCUAGGAGAACGAAUCGGAUCAGAUACCCGAGUAGCCCUAGCAGUAAAUUAUGCAGACUCUGGUGUUGCAAGUAUCACGAAUGCUUGCAGUACCGUAGCGUAAGUGUUAAGUCUGCCGCCUGGGGAGUACGGCCGCAAGGUUGAAACUUAAAGCAAUUGGCGGGGGAGCACACAAGGGGUGGAUGCUGCGGUUUAAUUGAAUCCAACGUCGGAAAUAUUACCAGAAGCGACGGCAGUGUGAAGGUCAGACUGAAGAUCUUACCUGACAAGCCGAGAGGUAGUGCAUGGCGACCGUCAGCUCGUGGUGUGAACUGUCCGGUUAAGUCCGGUAAGUCUAUGAGUGAUACAAUGACACAAAAGCUAAGACUAACGCCUGAUACAAGCUACAUGCUUGGAAUAUACAGGUGCAACAGGGGAAAGCGGAUUGAACUGUCCUCAAGCGACGAUGAUAUGAUUGCAAGGUUUGCCAAGCUCGCAAUGGACGAGUUCGGCAUUGAGCCUAACAAGAUAAUCAUCGACAGCGAGGGCAAGGUCAAGAAAACUUUCUUCUACAACUCCACGAUGGUGAAAAGGUUUGAAAAGGCGCUUGAAAGAAGAGUAAACAUAUUCAAGUACGCCAAUGCAUAUUCCGGAAAUUACUUCGCGGCGCUGUUCGACUGCAACGGAGGCAAGGAUGCUAAAGGCAUCUUUCUGAAGGGCAUGGACAGCGUUGACGAGGUAGUACUC